rnacentral:ncRNA from 1 species
CAACCUCAACUCAUAUGGGACUACCCCCUGAAUUUAAGCAUAUUAAUUAGGGGAGGAAAAGAAACUAACAAGGAUUUUCUUAGUAGCGGCGAGCGAAAAGAAAUCAGUUCAGCACUAAGUCACUUUGUCUAUAUGGCAAAUGUGAGAUGCAGUGUACGGAACAUCAACAUUCUAGUAUGAGAAGUUAACGAUUUAAGUCCUUCUUAAAUGAGGCCAUUUACCCAUAGAGGGUGCCAGGCCCGUAUAACGUUAAUGAUUACUAGAUGGUGUUUCCAAAGAGUCGUGUUGCUUGAUAGUGCAGCACUAAGUGGGUGGUAAACUCCAUCUAAAACUAAAUAUAACCAUGAGACCGAUAGUAAACAAGUACCGUGAGGGAAAGUUGAAAAGAACUCUGAAUAGAGAGUUAAAUAGUACGUGAAACUGCUUAGAGGUUAAGCCCGAUGAACCUGAAUAUCCGUUAUGGAAAAUUCAUCAUUAGAAUUGUAAUAUUUUAAACAAUAUUAUAAUAAUAGUGUGCAUUUUU